rnacentral:rRNA from 1 species
GACGAACGCUGGCGGCGUGCUUAACACAUGCAAGUCGAACGGAAAGGCCCUGCUUUUGUGGGGUGCUCGAGUGGCGAACGGGUGAGUAACACGUGAGUAACCUGCCCUUGACUUUGGGAUAACUUCAGGAAACAGGGGCUAAUACCGGAUAGGAGCUCCUGCUGCAUGGUGGGGGUUGGAAAGUUUCGGCGGUUGGGGAUGGACUCGCGGCUUAUCAGCUUGUUGGUGGGGUAGUGGCUUACCAAGGCUUUGACGGGUAGCCGGCCUGAGAGGGUGACUGGCCACAUUGGGACUGAGAUACGGCCCAGACUCCUACGGGAGGCAGCAGUGGGGAAUAUUGCACAAUGGGCGGAGGCCUGAUGCAGCAACGCCACGUGCGGGAUGACGGCCUUCGGGUUGUAAACCGCUUUCGCCUGUGACGAAGCGUGAGUGACGGUAAUGGGUAAAGAAGCACCGGCUAACUACGUG